UCUAUGUUUAUUAUUAUCGUCUGCAGUUAUGUUUUGCGUCAUCAGUUAUGGAACGAUAAAGAUAUAUUCAGAAAAUGUACGGAAAAGACUAUAAAUUCUAUUCUGUAGAAUAUAUCAUUAGGCUUAGAUAGGAUCUCAAGUUACAAAUAUUUUAGUGUAUUGUGAAGAAAUAAAAGAAUUUGACAUGGUUUCUUGGAUGGUGGUUGUACAGAAUUAAGGAAGUUUUACAAAUAUUUAUUUGGUAUACUUAAUCUUCAGGUUUCUUGCAGUCAAGUUGGGGUUUGUCACAGAUACUUUCAUCUUAUUUGAAUUUUUGUAACAAUUUUUACAUUAUAAAAUGAGCAAGAAUUGGCCAAUUCAGGUACCAAGCAUGAAAGGCUUUAAAUCAUUAUUUCUGUUAUAAUUAUUUACCCAAAAAAAUUCUUUUUUCAGUCAUAUACUUUGUCAAAUUUAUUGUGUGUGAUGCAAGCUGAUGUUGAUGGCCAAAAAUACUGUCAAAAACCCAAUUCACAUUAUCUGUGUUGCUUUACACACUACAACUGCAUCCAAACAAUUUACUGUCUUUUUUGUACAGUAUUGUUUGGUUGACACUAGAAUUGGCUGAGCAGUUCUUCUAAGCAACAAAAUUUGCAUUCUGAAAUGGAAUUUUCUUCUGAUUUGAAGAUACCCUUUAUUAUUGGAUACUUUUUGGAUCAGCCAAUAAGAAGCUGAAAAUGGGACAAUUUGAAAAAUGGUUUUUUUUUAUUUUGUAUUUUACAAGGAAAAGAAUUUGUACCUGGCUUAGCUAAUGCAUCAUCAAAUAGCCAUGUGUUUCCUGACUUUUGCCAUUCACUGUAUAAGAAAAAGCUUUUAGACAAAGAAAUUCUCUGAAAACUUAGUUUUAUUCACAAAACAUCAUGGAAACGUGCAUAACCAAUUCUUUGUUGUUUAAGGCAGCCUGGUUUUAUUCAGUAUAAAAUUUUCUUCUUUUUUUAUGUCCGUAAUGACCUAUUAUAUAUUUAAGUCUUUGUAUUACAUAAAUAAGUCUAUAAAAGAAAAGUUAUUAAAAUGUUAUUUUUUCAUUAAUUAGUAAUUUUAACAGUAAUUAAUUCUAAAUUACUUAUCCAUCUACUAAUUUCCAAUCUUCUAACAUAUAUUUAGUUUUUUAAGCAUAAGUUUUAAGUAAUGUUCCUAUUCAUUAUAGUUUAACAUAAAAUAAAUCUAUUUUUUACAAACAUUUUUCAGCAAAUUUUUAAUAUAUUUGUGACUUUAACAUAUUAAGAUAAAACUAUGAAUAUAGACUAAAAAACUAUAAGGGACUUCAAAAUGGAAAAAUACUGCACAAUAGAAGUUUUGUAUGAAGAAUAUUUAUAUGAAUGAUUUACUGACCAAAAUUUUUUGCUUAAAAACAUUAUGCAUGACAAUUGAAAAUAGAAACAAUACAACAACAAAUUUUUCCAAAUUCUAAUUUUCAAGAACUUUUAAAUAAUGUGUAUAACUUUUACAGAAAUGAAAAGUACUGGCAAAGUAAUGAAGUUGUAAUGACUUUACAGGUGAUACAGUUAAGAAUAAUUAAACAGAAAAAUAUGUUAAAUGGAAAAAAUAAGUGUUUGAUUUUUUUAAACAUCCUUAUUUCUAAUAGUAAUAAUAAUAUAUUAAUAGUUAUUGCAAAAAUUGUUGAUAGUGUGAGAUAUAAAUUUUCAACCAGUUUCAGCUAUUAAAAACUCAUUAUGAAUAUAUGGAAUUCUACAAAUAUAUUUUAAGCAUUUUCAUUGCAUCAUUUCUGUUGAAGCUAUUGAGAUAUGGAAAAUAGUAGAAACAUAAAAAAUAAUGGAAUUGUUAGACCCUUAUUUUAAUUCAGGAACACUGGAAAAAUAUUACAUUCAAAAUAUAAUACAGAUUUCAGUAAUGAGUAAUUAUG
rnacentral:lncRNA from 1 species